rnacentral:lncRNA from 1 species
UACAUACUGUGGGGUCGGGCUCCAAAUUCCUCAAUAGGACACCCUGAGCCCAGAAACUUUGAUGCCCUAGUUCCUCCAGGGAAGCUAGUCAGUGUUCCUCCCUCCUAGGUUGGCUAACUGUCCCCGUUUUACUAUAGCUGGAAAAACUAAUGCUAAAACCAAGACAGAACAAAGCAGGGACAGUGGUCAACCUGCUUCUUUCUAAAUGUGCAGGGACAAAUGUGCUUCCAGUCUUCAGCAAGCUCCUACUAAUGCCCUGGUGCCUUGUCAUCAUCCCAGCAUUCUCAUUACACUCCUCCAAAGGCUUUUGUGGUCCAGGUGACUUCCUCUGGGGACUCAGGGUUGCAUCAUGGUCAGGUGUCAAAUACUGCUUUUACACUUAAGAUCCUUGAGGGUAGGCACCAGACCUUAAUCAUUUCUCAUCCUCCAAAGCAUAGAAGCUAUUCAGUGACUGAAUGAAAAAGCAAAUAAAUAGCUGGGCAUGGUGAUGCACACCUGUAAUCCCCAGAGACUCAGGAGGUUUAGGCAAUAAGACUGCAAGUUCAAAGCCAGCCUCAGCAAUUUAGCGAGACUGUAAGCAACCUUAUGAGACCCUGUUUGAAAAUAAAAAGAGCUGGGGAUGUGGCUUAGUGGCUCAGUGGCUCAGUGCCCUUGGGUUCAAUCCCUGGUACCAAAAAAAAAGGGGGGGGGGAAGCAAAUAAAUUACCAUGUUAAGUCCUUACCAGACCCCAUUCUCUGUCUGAUUGGCCACAAGACACCCAGGGCACUUCCUAAUCUCCAUGCUACUCUGUGCAUGCUGUCAUAUGGCCCCAGUGCACACUGUCCAACCUAUAUGAGAGGCCUGGGCUAGUCGCCCUCCAUAACCACAUGAACAUCAAACCACCUUCUCUCUCUUUACCCUUGUUUUAUGAAUCUAUCCUGUUCUGCAGAAGGGCUUAUGUCUCAGUUUUCUGAUUUGGUUGUGUCUGGAGCCCUAGUCUGAACCAAACUAUGGGUAGAGGUAAUAAAAUUAAGGAAACUUAAGCAUCAUACCACUCAUCUUCAUGGUCCCCUGCCACAUCCCUGACAAGAGUCCUAAAAAACUCUUGAAAAUCUUUGUUGCAUUUGAAAAGUGAGAUAUUUUUCUAUUCAUUUUGCUAAUGGACUCCUGAAAUCAUACAAGCCUCCUGUCCCACAGGAUCAUCAUUCUCCCCCCUUAUUUAGUCCCUAGAAAUUAUUUCUUUCAUAAGACCUGAACUAUUUCUUCUGGACACCCAUGUGGGUGUGUGGUGGCAGAACCUUCUACUCAGCAUUCUGAGCCCUGUUGUUUCUGAUGCCAGCUGAGAGUGUCAGUCCUGGACAGCUGAGCAUGUUGGUGCUGAGCACCGGCUGCCCUCCUUGGGGUCACCUCCACGAGCAGGCUAGUUCCUCAGAUCUAGCCCUGCUGUUCCCCACCUCUGUUCCACUGAUGUCUUUCUUAGCCUGCCUUGCCAUUAAGCCCAUUCGUUUUCUCUCUGAAACAGAUUAGAAGGAAUGAGAACCAGGAACUUCGAACUGUCAGGUCUGAUGUUCUUCAACAUCUGAAAAUAGAAGAGGACUUUGAGUCAGCCCAAAAUCAGAAAGAGAACUGGAAAUUUUAAGAUGGAGUAACAAUAACAGAAAACCCAGACUAGAGGAAAUCACUUCAUAAAUCAAACAAAUUAGCAAAAACAUGGUUAUGUGCUCCCUAGUAAAUAAGACAUAAAAGAAAACCUGCUCGCCUCCAGCCCUAGUCUUGUAGUGGCACCCCCUCCUCCCUUCUCCAGAAAUAUUCACCAUAAUUGAUCUUAGGACUAUCAGCAAAAGAGUUCAUUGUAGUUAAGCUAUCAAAAAAGCAAUCAAAAACGUUCAAUGUAGAGAAGCUUCCUAUUUCCUGUUGUAUUCUCUUAUGAUAAUUAAAUUUGGCCACUGGGCCUGAAAGAGAUCAGCACUCCAGGUGCUGAACAAACCUUUAUGAACUAUCUCAUAUAUAUAUGACAAUUUGUAAUGGUUUUCAAGGGAAGUAUGUCUGUAAAUGCAGAGUGUGCAGAAAAGCAGAUUCUUUUAACUAGGUCUCUGGCCUUGAGCUUCACAGAGAUGUUCACAUUUCAAAGAUAAGAGAAGUUGUUACUAAUUGGGCUGCAU